rnacentral:misc_RNA from 1 species
UCCGGUUUGUCACCGGCGGUCUCUUUAGAGUGCCCAACUAAAUGCUGGCAACUAAAGACAAGGGUUGCGCUCGUUGCGGGACUUAACCCAACAUCUCACGACACGAGCUGACGACAGCCAUGCAGCACCUGUGUUAGCGUUCCCUUUCGGGCACCCUCACAUCUCUGCGAGGUUCGCUACAAGUCAAGGGUAGGUAAGGUUUUUCGCGUUGCAUCGAAUUAAUCCACAUAAUCCACCGCUUGCGUGAGCCCCCGUCAAUUCCUUUGAGUUUCGGCCUUGCGACUGUACUUCCCAGGCGGGGCACUUAACACAUUAGCUCCAGCAGGGAGAGCAUCGGAACUCCCCCUGCCUAGUGCCCAUCGUUUACGGCUUGGACUAC